GCUCUGGCACGGCUGCACGAUGGAAACGCACCGUGGCUUUGGCCCCUCUGACCAGAUCUUGGCCGCCAUAAUUUGUCGUCCAGACCAUGUAACGUGCCUAUGGCCCAGGCAGUCCAGCCGAACGUUGGUUCAGAUCUAGUUCAAAUACAGCGCACGCACUUGCAACAAAUUAAAUGCAGUGCAUUAAACCCGUGCUCACACCUUGGCUUAUAAAUUUCGACUUGUGCAUUAUUUUUUCUGCAUAACGCCUGCGGUACUCCUCUUUUGCCCAACACAUACUGCUUCACACAGAUGCAAAAUCGGAGAACGUGAGCUGAGCAGAUAGUGGAACCACAGAACACCUGCUGGUGGAACUUUGUGGCCCUGAAAUGGAACUCGCUUAAAUAAAGUUGCUUGAUCGAAGCAAGCACCCCACUGGAACCCUUUCACCAUCUGAGGUCUUCCAAGGAUAUGAUCAGAGACACACAAGUGAAACUUUUUUGCCAGCAAAAUUUAACCUAAAGCUUAGCAAAAGUGUACUGCAGGAAAACUCGCAAGGCUGAAAGAACCGAAACAGCAAAGAAAGCAGCUGCAAGGCAGGUCAGUGAACUUCGGCAGCCUCGG
rnacentral:lncRNA from 1 species